rnacentral:rRNA from 1 species
CCCUUAGAUGUUCUGGGCCGCACACGCGCUACACUGAAGGAGGCAGCGUGUACUCCUGGAUCGAAAGAUUUGGGUAACCCGCGAAUCUCCUUCGUGCUAGGGAUUGAGGUUUGCAAUUAUCCUUCAUGAACGAGGAAUUCCCAGUAAGUGCAAGUCAUAAGUUUGCGCUGACUACGUCCCUGCCCUUUGUACACACCGCCCGUCGCUACUACCGAUUGAAUGAUUUAGUGAGGACUUCGGACUGGGACCGAUGCGGCUUUCGGGCUGCGUCGGUAUUCUGGAAAGAUGUCCAAACUGUAUCAUUUAGAGGAAGUAAAAGUCGUANCA